CCUCUCCCCUUCUUCCCUGCCUUCCCCUCCCCUCCGCCGCCGCCGCCGCCUCCUCCGGCCACCUCCGUUCCCAUCUUCCCCAGCAAUGAGGCCCCGCUCAUCUUCCCCGCUACCCACGCUGCGGGUGGCCACCGCUUCCCCUCCAAGACGCUCGUCCUCGCCAUCGCCGUACCUGUCUUCGCCGUAGCUCUGCUCGGGGUCUCCUGCUCCCUCUUCAGCCUCCUCCGCCGCCGGCGCCAGAAAGGAAAGCCCUCCACGGCGGAGACCCGCCGCCUGUUCCC
rnacentral:lncRNA from 1 species